rnacentral:rRNA from 2 species
GCCCUUCCUACGGGAGGCAGCAGUGAGGAAUAUUGCGCAAUGGGCGAAAGCCUGACGCAGCGACGCCGCGUGGGGGAUGAAGGUUUUCGGAUUGUAAACCCCUUUCAUGAGGAAAGAUAAAGUGGGUAACCACUUAGACGGUACCUCAAGAAGAAGCCACGGCUAACUUCGUGCCAGCAGCCGCGGUAAUAAGGGC